GCAGAAGACGCGGCCGCCACGGCUCAGGCACACGCGGGCGCCCGGGGGCUGCGCGGCCGCGCCGCAGAAGGUGAAGGAACAGCGCGAGGCACGCAGCCGCCGCACCGUGGCGCGCACGAGCUCAGCCGGCCGGCGACCCCAGCGCGCCCACAGGACAGUGGCAGCCGGAAAGUGGGUUCCUGCAUGGUAACAAGACCUUAAAAUUGUGUCACUGGAGAAGGACGUGCAGUUCCCGCUGAGGAGAGACUUGGCCACUCCAGGACAACACAGGACUACAAGUCAGGAAUUUGAAGAUGAAAAGUGCUCAACAGUGAUAAAUCCUAAAUGUUUCACUGAACAACCUUUCAGAUAGCCUUCUUGAAGUUUGCUGAAUUAUGGCUAUAAGGACCACUCCCCACCCCUGCUAGAAGGUUGUUUGUGACCCAAGAGGGCAUCAAUACAAAGACCCUAAAGCUGGGAUUCCGAAGCACAGAGUCGCGGGAGAGAACCAAAGCUCAUCGCAUCUGGUUUAAGACUCCUUCAGAGUUGGAUCAGCCUAAAAACAGGACAUGGUACAAGAUUUUAUUCAUUCCAAAGAUUGUAAAAAUUAAAUUCAUCCUGAGAAUUUAUCAGUCUAUGUGGGAGCUACAGACUUCUAUGAGCAAGCAGAGUACCUGGCAUUCCUGACCAUGCUAUUUCUACCAAUCAACAAAAACUACUAGAUACUCAGAGGGGAUUUAAUACAGAGAGCUGGCUACAACAUGACAAAACACCAGACAAGGGAGGGCACUGUGGCUCAUGCCUGUAAUCCCGGCACUUCGGGAGGCCAAGGCGGGUGGAUCACCUGAGGUCAGGAGUUUGAGAUCAGCUAGCCAACAUGGUGAAACCCCGUCUCUACUAAAAAUACAAAAAAUUAGCCGGGCAUGGUGGCAGGCACCUGUAAUCCCAGCUACUUGGGAGGCUGAGGCAGGAGAAUCGCUUGAACCUGGGAGGCGGAGGUUGCAGUGAGCCAAGAUCAUGCCCUUGCACUCCAGCCUGGGCAACAAGAGUGAAACUCCGUCUGAAAUAAAUAAAUAAAUAAACAAACGGACACACACCACAGAAGGGACAGUGAGGCAACCCAGGGAAUAGAAAGAGCAGAAGCCGCGACCCUCUGUAGGGCUGAGGGCACACAACACAGGUCAAGUUACCGUCGCCCGGGAUCCAGGGUCCCCUGGUGGAAGCUGGAACCCACAGAUCAGUGCUGUGGGAGAUGGAGCCACAGAGAAACAACUGCUGCUGGAGACAUCAGCAGGGGAAGAAGGCGGAAAAAUACUGUAGCCGCUCCACACCUCCAGCCCAACGCCCCAUGGCGGAACUUCACUAGAGGCCCCACGGCAGAAGAGCCUCCAGGAACCUCCUUGUGGACCAGAGGAGAGAGAUAGAGAGGCGGCAGGAGGCAAGGGUGUGUCUAAGACAAACAGGCCACAGCCAGCCCCUGGCCUUCCUGAAACUCCUCCCUUGGGUUCUUUUAAAAUUCAAUAUUCUGCUUCUGUUCCAGGGUUAAUGGGCUGAACUGUGUCCCCCCAAAUUCUAAUGUUGAAGUUCUAACCCCCAGUACCUCAGAAUGGGACUGCAUCAGGAGACAGGUACUUUAAAAUAGUCAUUAAGGUAAAAUGAGGUCACCACCUAAUCUGUUAUGACUGGUAUCCUUAUAAGGAUAAAAUAGUCAUUAAGGUGAAAUGAGGUCAUCACCUAAUCUGUUAUGACUGGUAUCCUUAUAAGGAGAGGAGACUAGACACAGACAUGCACAGGGGGACAAUCCUGUAAGGACAAAGGGAGAAGACAGCCAUCUCCAAGCCAAGGAGAGAGGCCUCAGGAGAAACCAACCCCGCCCACACCUUCAUCUUGGACUUCUAGCUUCCAGAACUGGGGAAAUGAAUUUCUGUUGUUGAAGCCCCAGUCUGCAAUACUUAGUUAUAGCAGCCCUUGCGAACCAGCACAUCCAAGUUCUCCGUCUCUGUCUCUAACCCCUCUCUCAACUGUCGGCCAUAAGUGAGCCUCUGCCCCCAACUUCUGGCCUCCUCUAUGUUCUCUUCCUUGGUGACCUCUGGCAGUGACGCUCAGUCCUCAUGGCCAGCUCUGGCCUCUCCCAGGCUCUGGCGCCGCAAUCAUCUCUUCCACUUGUCUCUGCUUGGAUAGUCUGUCAGCAUCUCAAAGGCAACAUGAAUAAAACCAAAUGCAUUUUUUCCUCCCACAAA
rnacentral:lncRNA from 1 species